UUGUUACUUGUGGGGAGGUUUAAUUUCCACGUGCCUAAUCAAUAAAUAUCUGGAAAAACAAAGUGCUAUGCCGGCCGUUGGAUGGGAACACAGGUUAUGAAGAUCAGCUCAGUAGGUUGGCCCCACCAUUUGAUUUGUUUGCCAACUUAUUAACACAAAAAAUCAAAUUAUAAAAUUACAAAAUCAACAUACAGAAAGUGAUAAUGAUUUUUUUAUCAAGCC
rnacentral:lncRNA from 1 species